rnacentral:rRNA from 1 species
AUUUAACGCUGGCGGAAUGCUUUACACAUGCAAGUCGAACGGCAGCACGGACUUCGGUCUGGUGGCGAGUGGCGAACGGGUGAGUAAUGUAUCGGAACGUGCCCAGUCGUGGGGGAUAACGUAGUGGAAAUUACGCUAAUACCGCAUACGAUCUUUGGAUGAAAGCGGGGUACCGCAAGACCUCGCGCACUUGGCGCGUACGAUAUCAGAUUAGGUAGUGGGGGGGGUAAAGGCCCACCCAGCCAACGAUCUGUAGCUGGUCUGAGAGGACGACCAGCCACACUGGAACCGAGACACGGUCCAGACUCCUACGGGAGGCAGCAGUGGGGAAUUUUGGACAAUGGGCGAAAGCCUGAUCCAGCCAUUCCGCGUGCAGGAUGAAGGCCCUCGGGUUGUAAACUGCUUUUGUACAGAACGAAAAGGUUUCUACUAAUACUAGGAGCUCAUGACGGUACUGUAAGAAUAAGCACCGGCUAACUACGUGCCAGCCGCCGCUGUAA